rnacentral:rRNA from 1 species
GACGAACGCUGGCGGCGUGCUUAACACAUGCAAGUCGAACGCUGAAGCUCAGCUUUUGUUGGGUGGAUGAGUGGCGAACGGGUGAGUAACACGUGAGUAACCUGCCCCCUUCUUUGGGAUAACGCCCGGAAACGGGUGCUAAUACUGGAUAUUCACUGGUCUUCGCAUGGGGGUUGGUGGAAAGGGUUUUUCUGGUGGGGGAUGGGCUCGCGGCCUAUCAGCUUGUUGGUGGGGUGAUGGCCUACCAAGGCUUUGACGGGUAGCCGGCCUGAGAGGGUGACCGGUCACAUUGGGACUGAGAUACGGCCCAGACUCCUACGGGAGGCAGCAGUGGGGAAUAUUGCACAAUGGGCGCAAGCCUGAUGCAGCGACGCCGCGUGAGGGAUGGAGGCCUUCGGGUUGUGAACCUCUUUCGCUCAUGGUCAAGCCGCAACAAUGGUUGCGGUGAGGGUAGUGGGUAAAGAAGCGCCAGCUAACUACGUG